CACAAGCGGUGGAGCAUGUGUUAAUUCGAAGCACGCGAGAACCUUACCAGUCUUGACAUCUUCUGACACUCUGGAGACAGAGCUUCCCUUUCGGUGGACAGAGUGACAGGUGGUGCAUGGUUGUCGUCAGCUCGUGUCGUGAGAUGUUGGGUUAAGUCCCGCAACGAGCGCAACCCUUGUCCUUAGUUGCCAGCAUUCAGUUGGGCACUCUAAGGAGACUGCCGGUGACAAACCGGAGGAAGGUGGGGAUGACGUCAAAUCAUCAUGCCCCUUAUGACCUGGGCUACACACGUGCUACAAUGGAUAGAACAAAGGGCAGCGAAGCCGCGAGGUCAAGCAAAUCCCAUAAAUUUAUUCUCAGUUCGGAUUGCAGGCUGCAACUCGCCUGCAUGAAGCCGGAAUCGCUAGUAAUCGCGGAUCAGCAUGCCGCGGUGAAUACGUUCCCGGGCCUUGUACACACCGCCCGUCACACCACGAGAGUUUGUAACACCCGAAGUCGGUGGGGUAACCUUUUAGGGGCCAGCCGCCUAAGGUGGGACAGAUGAUUGGGGUGAAGUCGUAACAAGGUAGCCGUAA
rnacentral:rRNA from 1 species